rnacentral:tRNA from 1 species
ACCUGGGUGGCUCAGUCAGUUAAGCGUCUGACUUCAGCUCAGGUCAUGAUCUCACAGUUCGUGGGUUCGAGCCCCACAUCGGGCU